rnacentral:rRNA from 1 species
UACAGAGGUCCCAAGCGUUGUUCGGAUUCACUGGGCGUAAAGGGUGCGUAGGCGGGUCUUUAAGUCAGGGGUGAAAUCCUGGAGCUCAACUCCAGAACUGCCUUUGAUACUGAGGAUCUUGAGUUCGGGAGAGGUGAGUGGAACUGCGAGUGUAGAGGUGAAAUUCGUAGAUAUUCGCAAGAACACCAGUGGCGAAGGCGGCUCACUGGCCCGUAACUGACGCUCAUGCACGACAGCGUGGGGAGUCAAACAGG